UAUGUAAACGGCCGUUGUUGUGAAUCUAAACAAAAUCAGUCAGUCAUCGUUUUGUUGCCGUUAAAGUAGCACGUCGAGAAUCUCGUGUUCAGUUUUUGAUGAUGUUGUUGAUGUGAACGAAAUUAAUCGAAAAUGCACGCGUUGUUUGGUGAACAAAGUCCUUAUACCUACCGCGGAGGUGCUACCGGCGGAUAUUCUGCGGGUGUGACACCUUAUGCCUACGAACAAUACAGAUACGGUUAUGGUGCCCCAUAUCUUCAUCCGCAUCAGCAACAUGUAGGCACCCCCAAAGAUAUGGUGAAACCACCAUAUUCAUAUAUUGCACUGAUUGCAAUGGCGAUUCAAAACGCCCCCGACCGGCGGAUAACUCUCAACGGUAUUUAUCAGUUUAUUAUGGAGCGAUUUCCUUAUUACAGAGAAAAUAAGCAAGGCUGGCAAAAUUCAAUUCGACACAAUUUGAGCCUGAACGAAUGUUUCGUUAAGGUUGCCAGAGACGACAAGAAGCCCGGUAAAGGUAGUUAUUGGACUCUCGAUCCCGAUUCAUACAACAUGUUCGACAACGGAUCUUACUUGCGACGUCGCCGCCGAUUUAAGAAAAAGGAUGCACUUAAGGAAAAGGAAGAAGCGAUAAAACGACAGCAACAACUGCAACAAGCACAAGAAGCGUUAGCUGCACAAGAAGCGCUCAGUGCGGCGGAUGCUCUCGGACAACAGCGGGACGUGAAACCCGAUGUUAAGCCGCGCAUCUUCGAGUGUAGACCUAAACGAGAGCCCGGUGCAGAUUGCGCCCGGUACGAGAAACCUAAUGAUGCUCUUGACGAGUUUAGCGAACCACGACUGCCGUCUUCCGCGGUUUAUUGCUCACCACAACCGUAUUCAUUGGCUGCGGAGGAGUUCCGUGCAGCUACAUCAGGCUGGUAUGCGGCCCCUGAACCCCCAGCUGAACAGUUACCACCAGUAUUUAGAGAUCUCUUUGAACCACCGAGCUGUCAGCUGGCCGGCUUCCGCGGCGGUUCUCCCGUUCCUGACGCAUAUCGAGCGUCACCACCGCCACAUCAUCAUUACCGCACCUCCGCUCCAUCAUAUUACCACCAUCAAGCCUGCGUUGCAGCUGCACCCGCACCCGCUCACAAGUCCUACUGAGACAUCGCCCUCAGGAGGCCGGCAUCAUACGGCGCCGAACGGAUUUAGCCGCCCGCGUCAAUUCCACCGGAUAAAUAUAGCCGGAGAUGCCGCAGAGGCAAGCGGCGGCGUCGAUAAGCACUGUUUACAGAUCGGCGGCCGACCCUGCCGCCUCCCGCUCUGUUCAAUUCUAUAGGUUAAACAUUGAUGAAGGCGUGGGAAGAUGAAAAAGGAAGAAUAUACGUAAUAGGUGAUGAAGUGAAAAAUUGACUUUUUUAUAUUCAUCGAAACGAACGAAGUUUAAUUUACUUCUCUAGAAGACUUACAUUAGUUUGUAUAUUUGUUUAAUUUAGUUUAAUAGUUAAAUUAUUGUAUACCGAUAAAUUGUUUUAAAUUUAUGCGAGUAAUGGUAUUUUUAAAAUCAUUUAAUAAUAAGUAGUUCGUUAGGGAUCACUAAGAUAAAGUUAUAAGAUUAUGUCGUCUGUAAAAAAGGCGACGCAAACAACUCGAAUUGUUUAAUAUAAAAUUUAAUAUUCAUUAGACUAGCUGUAGUUACACAUAGUUAUACACUAUCUAGUCUUUUUCUUUGAGUGUAUGUAAAGAGUGAUAAUUUGUUAGUGUUCAUAAAGCACAAAAUAUUUUCAAAGAUUGCCAUUCAAUUGUUUAUCUUAAUAUUUCAUAAACUCAUGUCCACGACAUGAACUACAUAUGCCAUUAGUUGUAAUAACUUAAACGUUUAAACAAUCCAGUUACAUUUAUAAUAAUAGUAUUUAUAUUAUAUUUCUCAUGAAGUGAUAAUAAAUAAAUAAUACUUAACUAAAUUUAUCAUAUUCCAAACUCUGAAUCGUGAUACAUUUUAGAAAAUGUACAACAUUGUGGGGAUGAGCGAUUCUCAAAAACUUUUGGCAUUGUCAAUGGUCACAGAUGAAAUGAAGCUCCUGCAAGUUGUCUCCGGUUAAAAAAAAAUAAAGGAGAAAUAAUUUGUUAAUUGCUUCAGGAUUUUUGAAGUUGAUGUAAAAUUUCAAAAAGGAUAGUUUGAUAUUUUUGCUAAGUGAGGAUAACACCGGAACUCGUUUAGCCCUAUUUCAGAGUCUGUUAUAGUAAACGGAACUUAGCUUUGAUAUUUAAAAAAACAUAUUGAGUAAUUAAAAACGUAAAUCAGUAAUAAGAUAGAUUUCAUAAGCUUGUUCCAUUUAUUAAAUUUAAAUCUAUAGAGAUAACUGGACGACUCUGGGUACAGAUUCAAGACCAAAUUAUACGUAGAUCUAGUUAGACUCUUUGCCUUUCCCACUUUAACUUUACAUUUCAAUAAUGUGGUAUGUUAGGCUUUGUAUUUUUAUGGAUAUAGUUUUAAGUUCAAACAGCUAAUAAUAAUCAGCAAGACAUACUAUUUUUUCGAAGUCAUAGAAAACUUAAUAUCAUUAAUAUAAUAAAUGUAUCUUUCAUAUAAGCCUAAUUUAGUGAAUUCAUAAUACCGUGUUAUGUAAGUAAAUUAAUAACUUUGUGAUAUAUUAUGU